rnacentral:rRNA from 1 species
AACGAACGCUGGCGGCAGGCUUAACACAUGCAAGUCGAGCGCCCCGCAAGGGGAGCGGCAGACGGGUGAGUAACGCGUGGGAAUCUACCCAUCUCUACGGAAUAACGCAUGGAAACGUGUGCUAAUACCGUAUACGUCCUUCGGGAGAAAGAUUUAUCGGAGAUGGAUGAGCCCGCGUUGGAUUAGCUAGUUGGUGGGGUAAAGGCCUACCAAGGCGACGAUCCAUAGCUGGUCUGAGAGGAUGAUCAGCCACACUGGGACUGAGACACGGCCCAGACUCCUACGGGGGGCAGCAGUGGUGAAUAUUGGACAAUGGGCGCAAGCCUGAUCCAGCCCUGCCGCGUGAGUGAUGAAGGCCCUAGGGUUGUAAAGCUCUUUCCCCGGUGAAGAUAAUGACGGUAACCGGAGAAGAAGCCCCGGCUAACUUCGUGCCAGCCGCCGCAGUAAAAC